AUGGCCUCCUCCAGCACCACCUCCUCUACCCUCUCUGGUCAGAUCACCGAGCGGCUGACCCGCACAAACUACAUCAUGUGGCGUACCCAGAUUACGCCGCAAUUGAGAGGGGCAGGCUUCUUCGGCUAUGUCGAUGGAAGCAUAGCGGAGCCGUCCUAGAUCGUCGUCAGCAAGGACAAGGAUGGAAAGGAGGAGACCAUCUCGAAUCCACUCCAUCCCAUCUGGGUUUGAGAGGGUCAGCAGGUACUCGGAUAUCUUCUGAACAAUCUCUCCAAAGAAGUCUUGGUGCAGGUGACCUCGAUCGCUCAUGCACACGAGCUAUGGACGGCAUUAGCGAGCAUGUUCUCGUCAACCUCGCUGUCCCGCGUCAACAACAUCCGUGCAGCCCUCACCAACGCGCAGAAAGGGACACAGUCGGUGGCCUCCUUCUUCGCGCAUAUGCGUGGCCUCGCCGACGAGCUCGCUGCUGCUGACAAGCCAUUGCAGGAUGAUGAGAUGAUCUCUUACAUCCUCAAUGCACUUGACAUGGAGUAUCAGCCGUUGGUGUCUGCCCUUGAUGCACGCACCAUACCAGUCACCCUCGACGAGUUGUUCGCUCAGAUGAGCAACUUCGAUCAGCGGGUGGCCCUUUUCCAAGGAGCUGCAGGAGGCGGCUUCAAGUCUUCUGCUAACGCCGCCACUCGUGGCCGUGGAGGGAGCUCACGUCAUCGCGGGCCGCCCCAGAACAACAAGGGAAAGGGCACCGGUGGCGGCAACAGCAGCGGCGUCAACAACGCAUGA
rnacentral:rRNA from 1 species